rnacentral:lncRNA from 1 species
GUCACAUUCAUGAAAGGGAAGCGGAUUGUAGUUACGACGUAAGGAACAUAUCCGAUAUCAUUUGUGAAACGGUUAUUCCAUAACGGUCAACCAACUCGUGAUGGCGUCUGUAAAAUUUACGAAGGGAUGAUUUCAACUUCACCAUUUGGAACUCUUGGUUUAAUAGCUUCCUUGUGAGCAGCAACCCUCUAUCAAGAAAAUCAUGAUAGGAAAUGCAAGCACGGGAAUAUCGUAUCAAUUGGGAGAUAUAUACCCCGUAUGCAGGUGCUGCUGGAAUGUUGCUACUUAGAAAUGGAAAGUUCACAAUUGGAAAGCUGAAAUCAUCUAUUUUGUCACCUUAUACCACCACAGAUUAUCAAGACAUGCAAACUUAUACCACCACAGAUUAUCAAGACAUGCAAACUUAUACCUACACAGAUUAUCAAGACAUACAAACUUGUACCACCACAGAUUAUCAAGACCUACAAACUUUUACUCUUUUUU